GAUGAACGCUGGCGGCGUGCCUAAUACAUGCAAGUCGAGCGAACGGACGAGAAGCUUGCUUCUCUGAUGUUAGCGGCGGACGGGUGAGUAACACGUGGAUAACCUACCUAUAAGACUGGGAUAACUUCGGGAAACCGUAGCUAAUACCGGAUAAUAUUUUGAACCGCAUGGUUCAAAAGUGAAAGACGGUCUUGCUGUCACUUAUAGAUGGAUCCGCGCUGCAUUAGCUAGUUGGUAAGGUAACGGCUUACCAAGGCAACGAUGCAUAGCCGACCUGAGAGGGUGAUCGGCCACACUGGAACUGAGACACGGUCCAGACUCCUACGGGAGGCAGCAGUAGGGAAUCUUCCGCAAUGGGCGAAAGCCUGACGGAGCAACGCCGCGUGUGUGAUGAAGGUCUUCGGAUCGUAAAACUCUGUUAUUAGGGAAGAACAUAUGUGUGAGUAACUGUUCACAUCUUGACGUUACCUAAUCAGAAAGCCACGGCUAACUACGUG
rnacentral:rRNA from 1 species